UAUUAUAUACAGUAACUGUAAACUAUAAACUAUGCCGACUAGGGAUCGGUGGAUGUUAAUGUUUGACUCCAUCGGCACCUUAUGAGAAAUCAAAGUCAAAAUUAUAGUAAGCCCCAGCUCACUGCCUUCUUUGAGCAUGUACAAUCAUCAAAAAACGAAAUCUGAAAUGCAAGUUUAACGAAGGUGUCCCUAUACCUACAUAUAGAAGUACACGUUGAACCUGACAAUACGUAGCACGGGAUGCUGUGUACGAUGCCCUCAUAAGGAAUGACAUUACAUUCAAGUGGGUCAAAUGUGUCAGUGAAUAUACCGAAUGGACCCAGAGUUUUUUUGCUAAUAAUAUUGGAUCAAUUUAAUGUUGAAGUACACACAUUAACGCGGAUGACGCAAAUUUGCGUAAUUACGGAAUAAGCUGGUAGCGACGCAACUAUUAGCAGCCUCAUAAGGAUUCACUCGAUUGUCAUAGAGACACCGAUCACUACAGGACAACAAUGACUAAGAGGCUCUUGUAUACUAGAGAGGAGGUACUGGAGGAUCUCCUGGAUAGCAGUGACCAUGGUCCUUAGACUUAGAGGACUGUGAUGACCCUAUGGCAGCGAUGGGCGAUUUCAUGGACCUGUAUGAAGAAGAAGACCAGCGUGAAGACCAGCAUGAAUACCUCCCCAAUCAAGUUGAAGACUCUCGCGAGUAUGUUGAAAAUUAAUAAUGUCCUUAAUUAUUAAUUUUACACAGGCACACUUCAACUUCACGUCCACCACUCUCACCCCCAGACAUCACCCUUCUCACCCCUAGUUCUCUCACAUCCCCUCUCACCACCAGACAUCAACUGCUCACAUCCAGCCUCUCACCCCCAGACAUCACCCUCUGCUUUUCACCAGAUUUUGAACCCCCACUACCCCCACUUCCUCCAACAGCUUUGGGACAAAAAGAGGCAGAGGCAGAGCAAGGGUGUAGAGGCAGGAGGGGAAGAGGCAGAGCUAGAGCUAUUACUACUUCUACAGGUUCCCCAGUUCCCCCUUUCAUGACCAUUCACGAGAGGCCCAGCUGUAUCCAUCUCAAGUUCUCCCACUGAAAUAAUGGUAGCCGAGACAAAUCGAUACGCUAGGCCACAUGAUAAAAGGACCCCACUCACGACUGCUGAGCUAAAGGGAUUCUGCAUUUUCAUGGGGAUCGUGAAACUCCCAUCAAUUGAAAAUUAUUGGAGGAGAGACGUGCAAUUCCACUACUCACCAAUUGCAUCGAAGAUCUCACGCGAUCACUUUAGGGACAUCCGACGAUACCUCCAUUUCACGGACAACACCACUCUCCCGACUCCAGGCACCCCAGGUAGCGAUCGUUUGGCCAAAGUACGCCCCUUCAAUAAGCGCUGUUCUGCUGCAUACAACUUAGGCCGUGAAGUUGCAGUAGACGAGGCAAUGAUAAAGUUUCAGGGUAGAUCUGCACUCAAACAGUACCUCCCAAAUAAACCAGUGAAUAAACCAGUGAAGAGACAGCUCCAAUGGGUACUUCCACAUGCUACAAGUGUAUACAGGGAGAGAAGCCACACCAGAGAAGCACGAGUUGCCUCACAGCCUCGUUGAAGCACAAGCACCACCACGUCUAUUUCGACAACUUUUUCACGUCUGUCAAACUGUUGGAAGACUUGGAGAAGGAUGGCAUUUAUGCUUGUGGUACAGCUCGCGCUGACCGCAUAGGCGGCUGACAGAAAGAAAGACAAGGUGACAAGGUGACGGUCUCAGCUUGGAAGGACAAUAGGGUUGUCCGUGUGAUCUCCACAGCCUCUGACGCCACUUCGGUCACCUCUGUACAACGUACAGUCAAGGACUAUAAUCGCUGGUGUCGACAGAGG